rnacentral:rRNA from 1 species
AUGAACGCUAGCGACAGGCCUAACACAUGCAAGUCGAGGGGCAGCACGGGAGUAGCAAUACAACUGGUGGCGACCGGCGCACGGGUGAGUAACACGUAUGCAACCUACCUGUAAGAGGGGAAUAACCCGGAGAAAUUCGGACUAAUACCGCAUAAUACCUCGAAGCUGCAUGGCUUUGAGGUUAAAUAUUUAUAGCUUACAGAUGGGCAUGCGUAACAUUAGAUAGUUGGUGAGGUAACGGCUCACCAAGUCAACGAUGUUUAGGGGUUCUGAGAGGAAGGUCCCCCACACUGGUACUGAGACACGGACCAGACUCCUACGGGAGGCAGCAGUGAGGAAUAUUGGUCAAUGGGCGAGAGCCUGAACCAGCCAAGUCGCGUGAAGGAAGAAUGUCCUAUGGAUUGUAAACUUCUUUUGUAAGGGAAUAAAAAAGAGUACGUGUACUCUAUUGUAUGUACUUUACGAAUAAGGAUCGGCUAACUCCGUGCCAGCAGCCGCGGUAAUACGGAGGAUCCGAGCGUUAUCCGGAUUUAUUGGGUUUAAAGGGUGCGUAGGCGGACCAAUUAGUCAGUGGUGAAAGUUUGCAGCUCAACUGUAAAAUUGCCAUUGAAACUGUUGGUCUUGAGUGUAAAUGAGGUAGGCGGAAUGUGUUGUGUAGCGGUGAAAUGCUUAGAUAUAACACAGAACACCAAUUGCGAAGGCAGCUUACUGGGAUACAACUGACGCUGAGGCACGAAAGCGUGGGGAUCAAACAGGAUUAGAUACCCUGGUAGUCCACGCAGUAAACGAUGAAUACUAGCUGUAUGCGAUAUACUGUAUGUGGCAAAGCGAAAGCGUUUAAGU